AAAAAGCUUUGGUUAGCUUUCACAGCCACUAAUGCAUUCCUUCUUUAUGAUGUUUGAGAAGUUCCAGACAGAAGAGGAAGUGCUGAAAUACACAGAGAAAGAACCUUCUCUGCCCUGGGAUGAAGUCCUGGCUGAAAGUCAGUGCAAAGCCCUCUACCAGCAAAAGGAGAUCGUCUUGGGAUUGCAAGGUGCUGACAAGAGGGCACAGUUGUUCCAGCCAGCUGAAGAUUUGGAAUCUUCCUGAGCUGCUAUGACUUCACCUUUUCAUCAACACACUCCAGGAUCUUUAUUUUCUUCAUAUUUCCCGCAUGGUUUCAAACUUAUGCCUAAUGUUUAUCAGAUCUCUCUGUUUAUGACCUUGAACAUUUGGAGGAAAACUCCUGAACUUGACAGUUCCAAACUCUAGGACUGUGACGAUGACACAUGAAGGCAGGAGCCAACUGGAAAUUCAGUCGCAGAAGUGAAAUUCAAAACUGCGAGUGUAACAUGAGCCCAAGACCGUGUUUCCAGCAAAAAAAAAAAAAAGCUUGGAAGCUGCCCGUUAAGAAAUGAAACUGCGGCUGUUAGUUGCUGUUAUUACUGGCUAAGUAAUGACAAUGGACUGAAGAGUGGAGAGAAUACGAUACACAGGAGGUCCUUGUGUGAUCUUGCAACAGAAUGUUUUAGCUGUGACCUGCUGGUGUAAAUAGGAUACUAAAACUGUACUGAGCUGUCCCUACAGCACAAUAAGAUUAAACUAAUUGCCCUUCAAUGUUACUUUCCUGCAAGAAUGCCACUGAGGCUGGCUGUAGGCUCCCGUCUGGAGUUCCCAGUGAACUAUGGAUGCACCUCACAUUUAGAGCAACCUUAUGGGCAUACCUACCUGCCCAUGUUGUCUCUAGCUCUCCAAUAUCCCCUCUCUUGAUAGCAUCUGUCCAAAAGAAAAAUCUGGAAUCUCUUUGAAGGAUUCUGAUGUUGCCUGCUGUAAAUGUAUUUGGGAUUUGUAAUCUAUAUGGACUCGGACUGUAUGCAGACUUUCUGAUAUCUGUCUGGGUCUUAGGAGUAUCCUGAAAUACCAAAUAUUCCUGAAGUGCUGUCAGGUACUGUGGUUAUAAUCUAUGUAAGCAAGAAGUAUGUUUCUAUAAUGUACUGUAAAUCAAGACAUCAGACUAUAAAGUUCUUUG
rnacentral:lncRNA from 1 species